UAGGGAAUCUUCCGCAAUGGGCGAAAGCCUGACGGAGCAACGCCGCGUGAGUGAUGAAGGUCUUCGGAUCGUAAAACUCUGUUAUUAGGGAAGAACAAAUGUGUAAGUAACUAUGCACGUCUUGACGGUACCUAAUCAGAAAGCCACGGCUAACUACGUGCCAGCAGCCGCGGUAAUACGUAGGUGGCAAGCGUUAUCCGGAAUUAUUGGGCGUAAAGCGCGCGUAGGCGGUUUUUUAAGUCUGAUGUGAAAGCCCACGGCUCAACCGUUGAGGGUCAUUGGAAACUGGAAAACUUGAGUGCAGAAGAGGAAAGUGGAAUUCCAUGUGUAGCGGUGAAAUGCGCAGAGAUAUGGAGGAACACCAGUGGCGAAGGCGACUUUCUGGUCUGUAACUGACGCUGAUGUGCGAAAGCGUGGGGAUCAAACAGG
rnacentral:rRNA from 1 species